AAAAUGACAUUUCUGAGUAUUUCCUUGAUUUUGUUUUCACAAGGAGUUUUUGUUUUCUCACGCUGCUUAGGGAAGGAUGGACUGCUAAAUUGCUGCUCUGGAACAGUAUGGGACAAUCUUAAACAACAUUGUGUCGAAUGCGACCCUGGAUAUUAUGGUUUGAACUGUACAAAAGUAUGCCAAUACCCCACAUAUGGGAAACUCUGUCAGCUUCAGUGUUUCUGCGCGAUAGAGUUCUGUGAUAUUGCUA